rnacentral:lncRNA from 1 species
GGGGGGGGGGCUGGUGGGGCCGGGCCCCCCUCGGCGAGCAAUUGGCCCCCCAAACGGUGGGCCCCCCUUGUUGGUACUAUUUGGCCCCUCCUGAUGCUCAGGGCUGGCGACGGGCCUGGCUGUGCACAAAACAUACAGGUUCCAAUCUGAAGUCCAUCCAGAUGAUUCUUAAUAAGACAGCAGACGGUACAGGCAUAGACUCCAACACCCUGGCCUUACAGAUGAAGGGCCAUCCUGAGCUGAGGGACAAGCUUCAUGUCGUCACCUCUUGAGGGCCUUUGCCUGUCUACCCUGGGGUGGUCAACUCAGAAUUACCUGAGGAUCUCAAGACAUCUAUCACCAGGCAUCUUCUCAACAUGCAUCUCGACCCCAAAUGGCAAGCUCAACUGAACCAAUACAUGGUGUCCAAA